rnacentral:rRNA from 1 species
UUCCGGUUGAUCCUGCCGGCGACUACUGCUAUCAGGUUCCGACUAAGCCAUGCGAGUCAAAGGUUCGCAAGACACUGGCGUACUGCUCAGUAACACGCGGACAAUCUAACCCCAGGUGGGGUAUAACCUCGGGAAACUGAGGGUAAUUCCCCAUAGUUAUCAUAUGCUGGAAUGCUUUGAUGAUGAAAGUUCCGACGCCUGAGGAUGAGUCUGCGGCCUAUCAGGUAGUAUGUGGCGUAAAGGACCACAUAGCCUUUGACGGGUACGGGCCCUGAGAGGGGGAGCCCGGAGGUGGACUCUGAGACACUAGUCCAGGCCCUACGGGGCGCAGCAGGCGCGAAACCUGUGCAAUGCGCGUAAGCGCGACACGGGGAGCCUGAGUGCCUUGACUAAGUCAAGGCUUUUCUUAAGCCUAAAAAGCUUGAGGAAUAAGAGCUGGGCAAGACGGGUGCCAGCCGCCGCGGUAACACCCGCAGCUCGAGUGGUAGUCACUUUUAUUGAGCCUAAAGCGUUCGUAGCCGGUUUUGUAAAUCCUCAGACAAAUUCUCCUGCUUAACGGGAGAUACUCUGGAGAGACUGCGAAACUAGGGACCGGGUGAGGUUGAAGGUACUUCUGGGGUAGGGGUAAAAUCCUGUAAUCCUGGAAGGACGACCAGUGGCGAAGGCGUUCAACUAGAACGGAUCCGACGGUGAGGAACGAGGGCUAGGGGAGCAAACCGGAUUAGAUACCCGGGUAGUCCUAGCUGUAAACACUGCCCACUUGGUGUUGCUUCUUCUAUAGGGGGGAGCAGUGCCGGAGCGAAGGUGUUAAGUGGGCCGCUUGGGGAGUAUGGUCGCAAGGCUGAAACUUAAAGGAAUUGGCGGGGGAGCACCGCAACGGGAGGAGCGUGCGGUUUAAUUGGAUUCAACGCCGGA